rnacentral:rRNA from 1 species
AUUGAACGCUGGCGGCAGGCCUAACACAUGCAAGUCGAGCGAGCGGCGGACGGGUGAGUAAUGUCUGGGAAACUGCCUGAUGGAGGGGGAUAACUACUGGAAACGGUAGCUAAUACCGCAUACCAUCAGAUGUGCCCAGGUGGGCGUAGCGAGUAGGUGGGGUAACGGCUCACCUCGGCGACGAUCCCUCGCUGGUCUGAGAGGAUGACCAGCCACACUGGAACUGAGACACGGUCCAGACGCCUAUGGGAGUCAGCAGUGGGGAAUAUUGCACAAUGGGCGCAAGCCUGAUGCAGCCAUGCCGGGUGUGUGAAGAGGGCCUUCGGGUUGUAAAGCACUUUCAGCGGGGAGGCGUUACCCGCAGAAGAAGCACCGGCUAACUCCGUGCCAGCAGCGGCGGUAAUUC